rnacentral:rRNA from 1 species
GCUGAGACGGUUGCGUGAUCGUGCGCAGAAAAGCGUCAUCAAAGCGGACAAAGCGAUCAGCAAAGCGUUCGGUUCUUCGGUUUUCAAAGCCGUGCAACGACGCCUUCGCCAAUUUGGAAAUAUUCACAAAAAUGUCAGCAAUGAUGAUUACGUGAACGAGUUGAAAAAUUUAGUAAAAAACAUUACCGGCACGUUGGCCAGAAUUGGACAAUGUCCACUUGAACAAUUCGCGGAUAGUACGUCGAAAUGUUGUCGUCGUACGAAAAAAGGGUGUGGUCAUUAUUGUCACAAGAAACAGUGCAAAAAAAGUUGGAAAUCAACAAAUGAUCAGUUCUAUUGUUAUGCUGAACACGCAGAGCCAGAUGGUCGAUUUGAAAAUCCAAUAAAUUGGCAAUUUUACGCUUCUGAACAGAGAAAACAGCUCCGCAAGGACAACGCCUUUUUCGACAGUUACGAUUCUUGGUUGACCAGACGUUACAGGAAACGAAAUGUACUCCGAAUGCGCAACAGCAAUUUAUUGAACAUCAAUUCUUAAUGCACAUCUUUUUUGUUUUUUUUUUAAUAAUUACCAUCUAGUUUAUUUAAAUUCCCUUCUUUUUUAUUCAUUUUUGUCAUUAUUCUGAAUGUAAAACUUCAUUCAACUUUCCAUACAAUUCCACCAUCAGUAGUAAUAAUUAUGAUGAUAUUUCAAUUUCUAUUUAUAAAUUUCAUCUUUUUUCUCUCUUCCUUUCACCAAAUAUUUACUCCAUUAUUGAACUGCUAAAAAUGGAUGUGAAAAAAUGUUCACUUUUUUUUUCCAUCUUUUCAAAUUCAUCCAUAUUAUUAUUAUUAUUAUUAUAAAAUACAAUACACAGGCCAAUGAACUUGCAAUAGCAUAAUAUUUUUUUUUGUUCAGUUUAGUUUUUUUUUGAAAAUGAACAUUUUUCUUAUUUAAAUAAAUAAUGUGACAUGAUUUUGCUGCUUUUCAUGACGGAUGAUAGACUCAACAAUUUUCACUGGUAGGAGAAGGUAAAUGCGCUGUUGAACGUUGCUGACCCAUAGGAUUAGAAUUCGACUCGUCUGAACUAUCCUCGUUGGCUAGUAUCAAAUCAUCCAUAUCAAUAAGCAAGUCUUGUGCCGGCAGAAGCUCAUCAUGCGUGACAUUUGACGAUUCCGUAAGAUGCGCUUGAGACGAUUUUGCAUAAAUCGUUCGAGACUGUCCUGUAGGCAUACCAUCUGAGUUAGACGAAGAAGAGUCCAUGUUUUCUUCCAUUGCCAUUGCGAUACAUCGACGCAGUCUACCUUCUUUUUCGCUGCAUGUUAUGUAAUCGUUGUCUGACCAGCUUCCACAAACUUCAACUGAUAAUUCCGGUGUUAAAUCGAAGCUUCCUGCACUGCUAGCCUCGACUACAACAGGCACGGCAUUGACAAACUGUCGAUUUGGCACUGGCAUAGGCUGACUUCGAUCCGAACUUUGAACAGCAGAUAACGGCAGUUCCAAGGAGGCGGACUGGAACGGAUCCGUAACUUCGGAACAAGGAUUGGCUCUAAGGGCUGGGCCGAUCGGGCUGAGGUUUCAAGCGUGCAGUGUAUGCUUGGCUGAGUUGUGUUGAGGACUUGUUCACUUGCCGCCGUUUGUUCGGUUGGUCUAGUGUAUUCGAGUCUGAAGCAGAGCUGGCCGACAGACCGGCACGUGCAGAACCUGAGCUGCGCGGCUGUCCGUUUACGUGUACAGACCGUUUCGGUCGGCAUUCAACAGCCAACUUAGAACUGGCACGGACACAAGGAAUCUGACUGUAUAAUUAAAACAAAGCAUUGCGAUGGCCGAUGAUCGGUGAUGACGCAAUGUGAUUUCUGCCCAGUGCUCUGAAUGUCAAAGUGAAGAAAUUCAAUCAAGCGCGGGUAAACGGCGGGAGUAACUAUGACUCUCUUAAGGUAGCCAAAUGCCUCGUCAUCUAAUUAGUGACGCGUAUGAAUGGAUCAACAAGAUUCCUUCUGUCCCUAUCUACUAUCUAGCGAAACCACAGCCAAGGGAACGGGCUUGGCAAAAUCAGCGGGGAAAGAAGACCCUGUUGAGCUUGACUCUAGUCUGACUCUGUGAAGAGACAUGAAAGGUGUAGCAUAGGUGGGAGAUUGUCAAAUUGCCAUCGUUCGCGCGGUGGUCCGGUGAUCGCCAAUGAAAUACCACUACUUUGAUCGUUUCUUUACUUAUUCGGUAAAGCGAAAAAAUUGUGGCCAAUUUGGCGGUUUAUGUCGCUGUUGGUCAUUGUUUUCAUGUUAGAUUGAAGCUUUGUUUACAGCCGUCGCUUUGUGUCGCCAUUUGACGCAUUGUUGUACUGGGUUAUCCCGGUGUGUGGUGUAGUCAGUAUGGAUGAUCGGCGAUAGGUUUGAAGUGAUUCGCUCCGGAAACAGUGUCAGACGGGGAGUUUGACUGGGGCGGUACAUCUGUUAAACGAUAACGCAGGUGUCCUAAGGUAAGCUCAGCGAGGACAGAAACCUCGCUUAGAGUAAACGGGCACAAGCUUACUUGAUUUUGAUUUCCAGUACGAAUAGAAACCGCGAAAGCGUGGCCUAUCGAUCCUUUUGAUUGUGUAGAUUUCAUGCAAGAGGUGUCAGAAAAGUUACCACAGGGAUAACUGGCUUGUGGCAGCCAAGCGUCCAUAGCGACGUUGCUUUUUGAUCCUUCGAUGUCGGCUCUUCCUAUCAUUGCGAAGCAGAAUUCGCCAAGCGUUGGAUUGUUCACCCACCAAUAGGGAACGUGAGCUGGGUUUAGACCGUCGUGAGACAGGUUAGUUUUACCCUACUGAUGACAAGUCGUUGCGAUAGUAAUCCUGCUCAGUACGAGAGGAACCGCGGGAUCAGACAUUUGGUUCAUGCGCUCGGCUGAAAGGCCGGUGGCGCGAAGCUAGCAUCUGCAAGAUUAUGACUGAACGCCUCUAAGUCAGAAUCUUUUCUAGUCAUUGGCAACGAUAAGUUGCGUCCAGACUCGAUGCGAGGAAACGAUUAGGCUUUGCUAUACGGCGAAGCCAUUAUCAGACCACGGUAGCAGGCAGUAUGGGAUUGUUACGAAAAAGCAAUUUUUUGAAGUCAGUUGAAUUCAAUCAAACUGCUAACAAUUCCACUGCGAAUGACUCCAUUCGAAUCAAU